UGAUCAGAAAGAGGUAGGUAAUUGU
rnacentral:piRNA from 1 species